rnacentral:rRNA from 1 species
UACAGAGGUCCCGAGCGUUGUUCGGAUUCAUUGGGCGUAAAGCGUGCGUAGGCGGUUGUCUAAGUUUGGUGUGAAAUCUCCUGGCUUAACUGGGAGGGUGCGCCGAAAACUGGGUGACUGGAGUGUCGGAGAGGUAAGCGGAAUUCCUGGUGUAGCGGUGAAAUGCGUAGAGAUCAGGAAGAACACCUGUGGUGUAGACAGCUUACUGGACGAUAACUGACGCUGAGGCACGAAAGCGUGGGUAGCAAACAGG